CAAACGUAAAUCAACAACUUUUUGCAAAGAUGAAACGCGCCACAUUCAAAGUUUUAGUUCCUGUCCUACUGACUCAAUUAGCUGUGGCAGUCGUCGGGCUCGAUGGCGACAAUUUGGCGAAAGAAUAUGGCGCGAAGAUUCAAAAAGAUAAAAACAGAAACUCAAUGAGUGCCUUUGGAAGUGGUCAGACAGAGGAGUUUGACGAACUUAACCCCAACGGACGCUACAGUGAAUUCUGGCCAAUGAGAUGGCCCAACAAGCCAAAUCAACCGAAAUCAAAUCACAAAUCGAAUCCACAUUUCCCUAUUCCAGCUCACAGCUAUAUUUCGCUCCGAUUAUUUACAACCAUGCAUCAGCAUUCAAACCUUAUGUUCCACUUUACGUUCCUAAGAAGACUCCCAGUUACGACCGCCCUACUUCCGUCUCUCCUACAGCUUACUACACCGAAUCACUGAUUUACGGUUACACAACGCCAUCUUAUCCAUCACCGACUUUAUCACCUUCGCCUUACUUUCCUCCGGAGAACAUGGAUUCCACCAUCGACCCAUCAUCACGACCCGAUAACAUAUUUUCAAUAUCGGUAAAUUUCGGGUAAAUUUACAAAUACUGGCAAUAUGAGCAUCCGUGACCGAUCUUUGCUUCUCUACGUCGGCCGUACUGAUGGGCUUAUAGGGCCUAUAAGUAUUACGCCAGCAGAAUCUCAUUUACACCCCCAUUUUCUCCUUCUUUUCACUCCCACCAAAUUGUACUGCCUUUUGCGCCGUCAGUGAAAAUGAAUCAAAUGAAAGUAGAAACGUGUCAACAAAUUUAAGUUUGAAAAUCGUCGCUAGAAAUUUCUAACUUUCCAAUGAGUUUUGGAAUAAAGAAUUAUCUUUCAAGAUUUUUUAUCAAAUAUGCCUGAUAACAUUGCCAAGACAACAAAUCCAAGAAGAUAAAAUUGCCACCCACGACUAGGUUUAUCACUUUGAUUAUAGUCGUCAAGGCCAAAUAAUUCAAAAGGCUGUUGCAUUCCUAACAAAGAAGACCACAUCGUUUUUUGUGUGUGAAGGAAUACAAUAUUAGUUUUUCAUAACUAUUGUGCUGUUUAAGAAAGUCAGUAUGUCGAAAAUGUCGCGGAUUUUCAAUCCCCACAAUAAAUUAGGGGAGGGACGUUAUGGUAUCGUUUGCAAAGGAUCCUGGGAUGGAAAAACAGUGGCCAUCAAGAGAAUUCAACUACAUCAGUGCUGCAAACAAGAAGAAGAUGCCAUGAAAAAACUCGAUCAUCCCAAUGUCGUAAAAUUUUUCCACGCCGAGAGUGACGAGCAUUUCAGAUAUUACUGUCUUGAAUUGUGUGAUGGCUCGUUGGACCAAAUGUUAUCUAAAGACAAGGACCCAGAAAAAUUCUUGAAGGCCCACCCAA